CAGUGGCUGCCUGGCGCGGCCGCAGCGGCGCCUUAAAUAGCAUCCGGAGCCGGCGCGGGGAAGGGAGUGGGCCGCGGUGACAGCCGGCGGCGGCGGAGCGGCGGGGCCAGCCGGGGAGAAUUCAGCUUAGAGAACUAUCAACACAGGACAAUGCAAGCCCACGAGUUGUUCCGGUAUUUUCGAGUGCCAGAGCUGGUUGACUUCCGACAAUACGUGCGCACCCUCCCAACCAACACACUCAUGGGCUUCGGAGCUUUGGCCGCCCUCACCACUUUCGGGUACGCCACGAGACCCAAAGCCCCGAGACCAUCAUGUGACCUCUCCAUGCAGUCAGUGGAAGUGGCGAUAAUGGCCCUUGUUCAGGCUCUCGGAAACCAGACCGAUUCUAUGAAUGGCUUUCAUACAAACAGGUUGCAGAGCGCUCCGAGUACAUAGGUUCAGCGCUGAUCCAGAAGGGCUUCAAGGCCGCCCCGGAUCAGUUCAUUGGCAUCUUUGCUCAAAAUAGACCUGAGUGGGUGAUUAUUGAACAGGGAUGCUUUGCUUAUUCAAUGGUGGUCGUUCCACUGUAUGAUACUCUAGGGACCGAAGCUAUCACGUACAUAGUCAACAAAGCUGAGCUCUCUCUGAUUUUUUGUUGACAGACCAGAGAAGGCCAAACUCUUAUUAGAGGGUGUAGAAAAUAAGUUAACACCAGGCCUUAAAGUCGUAGUUCUCAUGGAUGCCUACAGCAGUGAGCUGGUGGAACGAGGCAAGAAGACUGGGGUGGAGAUCAUCAGCAUGAAGGCGUUGGAGGAUCUGGGAAGAGCCAACAGGCGGCAGCCCAAGCCUCCAGCACCUGAAGAUCUUGCAGUAGUUUCUUUCACAAGUGGAACUACAGGCAACCUCAAAGGAGCACUGAUCACUCAUUGAAAUGUAGUGAGCGAUUGUUCAGCUUUUGUGAAAAAGACAGAGAACACAGUCAGUCCUUCCCCAGACGAUACUUUGAUAUCUUUCUUGCCUCUCGCCCAUAUGUUUGAGAGAGUUGUAGAGUGUGUCAUGCUGUGUCAUGGAGUUAAAAUAGGAUUUUUUCAAGGAGACAUCAGGCUGCUUAUGGAUGAUCUCAAGGUGUUGCAGCCCACUCUCUUUCCUGUGGUUCUGAGACUGCUGAACCCGGUGUUUGACCAAAUUUUUGGUCAAGCAAACACCACGCUGAAACGAUGGCUCUUGGACUUUGCCUCCAAGAGGAAAGAAGCAGAACUUCGCAGUGGCAUCAUUCGAAACAACAGCCUGUGGGACAAGCUGAUCUUCCACAAGAUACAGUCGAGCCUAGGCGGAAGUGUCCGGUUGAUGGUCACGGGAGCUGCACCCAUGUCUGCCACUGUGCUGACCUUCCUGAGAGCGGCCCUUGGCUGUCAGUUUUAUGAAGGUUAUGGACAGACUGAGUGCACUGCUGGGUGCUGCCUGACUGUGCCUGGAGACUGGACAGCAGGCCAUGUUGGUGCCCCAAUGCCUUGCAAUUUUAUAAAACUUGUUGAUGUGGAAGAAAUGAAUUACAUGGCUGCCAAGGGCGAAGGUGAGGUGUGUGUGAAAGGGCCGAAUGUAUUCCAGGGCUACUUGAAAGACCCAGCAAAAACAGCAGAAGCUUUGGAUAAAGAUGGCUGGUUACACACAGGGGACAUUGGGAAAUGGCUACCAAAUGGCACCUUGAAGAUCAUCGACAGGAAAAAGCACAUAUUUAAACUGGCACAAGGAGAAUACAUAGCACCCGAAAAGAUUGAAAACAUAUACCUGCGAAGUGAACCUGUUGCUCAGGUGUUUGUGCACGGAGAAAGCUUGCAGGCAUUUCUCAUAGCAAUUGUGGUACCAGACAUUGAGACAUUAGGCUCCUGGGCCGGAAAGAGAGGAUUUGAUGGAUCCUUUGGGGAAUUGUGCAGAAAUAAGGAUGUCAAGAAAGCUAUCCUAGAAGACAUGGUGAGGCUUGGGAAGGAUUCUGGUCUAAAACCAUUUGAGCAGGUCAAGGGUAUAACACUACACCCUGAAUUAUUUUCUAUCGACAAUGGCAUUUUGACUCCAACAAUGAAGGCAAAAAGGCCAGAACUACGGAACUAUUUCAGGUCGCAGAUAGGUGAACUUUAUUCCACCAUCAAGGUUUAACGGGAGGAAGAAAGCUUGGAAGAAAUGGCACCCCUCCACAGUCUCUUCCACUGAUGGCCUUCAUGUUGAGUACAGCAAGUGCAGGAGAGGAAGCGUUCGCAUUGGACUUGUUCAUUGGGAUCUUGUCAUAGGAAUAUUAGAGGA